CCCUUAGAUGUUCUGGGCCGCACGCGCGCUACACUGACUACUUCAACGAGUUGUUUCCUUGAUCGAAAGGUCUGGGUAAUCUUUGAAAGGUAGUCGUGAUGGGGAUAGAUCCUUGCAAUUUUUGAUCUUCAACAAGGAAUUCCUAGUAAACGCAAGUCAUCAGCUUGCAUUGAUUACGUCCCUGCCCUUUGUACACACCGCCCGUCGCACCUACCGAUUGAAUGGUCCGGUGAAUCUUUAGGACUGUGGCUGAGGCCUUGCCUUGUGCGGGUCUGGCCGUGGGAAUUUAGUUAAACCUUACCAUUUAGAGGAAGGUGAAGUCGUAACA
rnacentral:rRNA from 1 species